rnacentral:rRNA from 1 species
AUUGAACGCUGGCGGCAGGCCUAACACAUGCAAGUCGAGCGAGCGUCGGACGGGUGAGUGUUGUAUGGGGACUGCCCGAUAUAGGGGGAUAACUCCUGGAAACGGUAGCUAAUAUCGCAUACUCCCGGAUUACCCAAAUGGGAUUUGCUAUGGGGUGGGGUAAUGGCUCACCUAGGCGACGAGCCCUCGCUGGUCUGAGAGGAGGAUCAGCCAAACUGGGACUGAGACACGGCCCAGACUCCUACGGAGGCAGCAGUGGGGAAUAUUGCACAAUGGGCGCAAGCCUGAUGCAGCCAUGCCGCGUGUAUGAAGAAGGCCCUAGGGUUGUAAAGUACUUUCAGUCGGGAGGCGUUACCGACAGAAGAAGCACCGGCUAACUCCGUGCCAGCAGCCGCGGUAAUAC